GCACUGAAUUGCCUUUGGUAGAGUGUGAGGCUCUUAAUCUCAGGGUCAUGGGUUUGAGCCCCACGAUGGGCA